AGUCUGCGGGCGGGAGGGCGCCGACGAGGUGGCGAGGGCGGCGGGCGCGGGGGCGCGGGAGCCCCGGCCAAGCCUAGGGACCGGAGGGCGCCCCCUCCCAGCAUCCGAACGCGAGCAACUUCCUGCCGCCCGGGACGGAGUUUCUCCGUUGCCCAUGGACGUCCAGGAAGCCGUGUGGAGGGCAAGCAGGGUAACUCCCACUCCCACCCCACCUUUAUCCCGGGGAAGCCAGAGGAGCCAGCAAGUCCGGACUCGCUGAGGGGGCUCCACGCGGGGCCUCCCACGCACAGGAAAAGCGAGAGAUCCACUGACCCAUCCUGAGCACUGCAGUACACUGGAGGCAGAAACCAGCCAUUCACACACCCUCGGGUCGACCCUGCUGGGAUCUCUUCUGCUUUCUACAGCAGUGGCCUCUAGGCCCUCCAGGUAAGGCAGGAGGCUACAAACUCCCCCAAGGCAGGAGUGAAAGCAGGGUGACAUGGACCAGAAGGAGAACUUAGGUCAGAUAGCUUCCUGUGCGGGUGCGCUGCAGCUCUGCCUUUAAUAACUGGCCAGCCCUGGCUCUCCCCAUCCGAAGGUGCAAGACCAGCCCAGGAGGGGCCAUACCCCCCUCCUAUGCAGCAAAGGUGCUGUCUCCUUUGGAUCUUUUUGCGGUCUGGGCUUGCUGUUUCUUGCAACAGUAGUCAGGAAGCCCUUACCCCAAAAAGUAUCUACGGGAGGCCAGGUCCACAGCAGAGACUCCUGAAUGCUCACGGUGAGUGAUACAGCAACCCAGGAAUGAGUGGAACUGGCUGUUUCGUAGAGUUGCUGGGUAACCUUAGGUCAACUGCUGAGGUUCUCUCUGCUUCAGAGUUAUGCAACCCCCUUAAUCAUUUCCUAGCAGGCCAUGUCUAGUGAGGAACUCCACACGAUAAGGACAAAGGAGUGGGUCCAAGACAGGCCAGGAAGACCACGAGGUAGACAUUGGUGCCCUGGCUCUCCCACGUUCUGUCUUCUGCCUGCACAUGGCCAACCUCUGAGCUCCUUCAGGGGAAUGACCCUUCCUGCACUGUGGGCACUCGUGGUAGGACUGUUACUCAAAACAUGCUGCCCUCCCUGCCCGCAGGUAGACAUGAGACCCAAGACAGGCCUGGAAAUGGAAUCCCUUGCAGAGGGCUCAAGACUGAUUGAUAUCAACAAACUGAUUGAUACCAAUUGAAUGUAGCAGCUGCUCAACGAGAAGAUUAGGAGCUUCUGCCAUCUGGAUCACUGAGAAGAUUUGUGUCUGCUCAUCUCCAGCCUGAACCUUUGAUUGCCCCCUUCAUCCUGUGAACCAUCCUCAAAUCCUUCAAAUAAAAUCUUUGAUUGCUGAAGUUCA